rnacentral:rRNA from 1 species
GCAAGUCGAGCGCGGGAAGCGAGUGGAUCCCUUCGGGGUGAAGCUCGUGGAACGAGCGGCGGACGGGUGAGUAACACGUGGGCAACCUGCCUGUAAGAUCGGAAUAACCCCGGGAAACCGGGGCUAAUGCCGGGUAAUACUUUCUUUCGCAUGAAGGAAAGUUGAAAGAUGGCUUCUUGCUAUCACUUACAGAUGGGCCCGCGGCGCAUUAGCUAGUUGGUGAGGUAACGGCUCACCAAGGCGACGAUGCGUAGCCGACCUGAGAGGGUGAUCGGCCACACUGGGACUGAGACACGGCCCAGACUCCUACGGGAGGCAGCAGUAGGGAAUCUUCCGCAAUGGACGAAAGUCUGACGGAGCAACGCCGCGUGAACGAUGAAGGUCUUCGGAUCGUAAAGUUCUGUUGUUAGGGAAGAACAAGUACCGUGCGAAUAGAGCGGUACCUUGACGGUACCUAACGAGGAAGCCCCGGCUAACUACGUGCCAGCAGCCGCGGUAAUACGUAGGGGGCAAGCGUUGUCCGGAAUUAUUGGGCGUAAAGCGCGCGCAGGCGGUUCCUUAAGUCUGAUGUGAAAGCCCACGGCUCAACCGUGGAGGGUCAUUGGAAACUGGGGAACUUGAGGACAGAAGAGGAGAGUGGAAUUCCACGUGUAGCGGUGAAAUGCGUAGAUAUGUGGAGGAACACCAGUGGCGAAGGCGACUCUCUGGUCUGUUUCUGACGCUGAGGUGCGAAAGCGUGGGUAGCAAACAGGAUUAGAUACCCUGGUAGUCCACGCCGUAAACGAUGAGUGCUAGGUGUUAGGGGGCUUCCACCCCUUAGUGCUGAAGUUAACGCAUUAAGCACUCCGCCUGGGGAGUACGGCCGCAAGGCUGAAACUCAAAGGAAUUGACGGGGGCCCGCACAAGCGGUGGAGCAUGUGGUUUAAUUCGAAGCAACGCGAAGAACCUUACCAGGUCUUGACAUCCUUGGACAACCCUAGAGAUAGGGCUUUCCCUUCGGGGACCAAGUGACAGGUGGUGCA